rnacentral:rRNA from 1 species
UACGAAGGGGGCGAGCGUUGUUCGGAUUUACUGGGCGUAAAGGGCUCGUAGGCGGCCAACUAAGUCAGACGUGAAAUCCCUCGGCUUAACCGGGGAACUGCGUCUGAUACUGGAUGGCUUGAGUUUGGGAGAGGGAUGCGGAAUUCCAGGUGUAGCGGUGAAAUUCGUAGAUAUUGGGAAGAACACCGGUGGCGAAGGCGGCUCACUGGCUCGUAACUGACGCUCAUGCACGACAGCGUGGGGAUCAAACAGG